rnacentral:lncRNA from 1 species
CUCUUGCCUCCACCACCCGCAGCACCAAGUACUGUUUCUGGGGUGAGGGAGGGGUAGCAGGAGUAGAGGGCAGGUGGCGGGAUGGGGGAUGGGGAACGGAAGGCAUCAUGCAGGCUAGGCAAGCAGUCUACAUCCAAGCCACAUCCUCAGCCUCUGCUUGAAAUUCUUUCGAUAGCCCUGCUGCUCUGAAGAUGCCCGGGUGGAACCUAGUCCACAGCCAUGGAUUGCGCAGGAAAAAGGAGAACAGAGAAGC